CCUAUUAUAGCAUAGUGAAACUCAGAUUAAUCAAAAAUAACUCAAAUAAAGCAUACCAAGUUCAGAGAAAUCUGGUUAUCAAAAGUGCCAAUGAUAAACCUAAAUCGGUGCUAAUCGUUAUACUAACACGACUUGAUCUUAUACACACUUUCGGAACAAUAAGAGAGAAAUAGAUAAACAAAAGACGAGAAUGAAGGAGUCAGUGGUGAGACAACAAUAUAAACGAGGGAAAUGUGGAAACAGAAGCGAAAAAUAGGAAGAAGAAGAAAAAAAAAAUACAAAGAGAAAUACCGAAGUGAAGAACGAUUCAGGCUACUCGAACCCUGGCUUCUCUGAUUUGAACUAAAAGGUGUGUUAACCGACUGUUCUUGUGGGAGCAGUCGCUUGACGCUUGCCUCAAGCUCAAAUUGCCUUCAAAAAAUAGGAUGGUAAGAACUCAAACCCUUUGCAUGAUGAGUUCAAGUUUGGAAGACUUAGAGGCUGGAAGUUUAGAUCUAAGAUUUGAGGUGUUUCAACUUGAUUCGAUGAAAGCUGGUUCGAAAUUUGAGGAAAGGGGAUCAUGGUGAGUAAUGGUGCAAUUCUUGGUCAAGAUUGAAGACUUGCCACUGUCGUAGGGCGAUUUCUGGCGGCGGUUUGCGGUGGCCGGAGAUAGAGAGAUGAGAUAUGAGGAAAGCUCAGUUAAAGCUUCUAAUUUGAACAUUUUUAACGGAGCUUGGAGGUUGAACCCUGGCUAUUGGAUUAGGGAAAAUAAAGGGAUGAAAUUGAUUUGAAACUAAUGAACUCAAAACGACGUAGUAUCAUCAUUUUACUACGUCAUUUCACAGUCUCUAAGGCUGAGGACUUGGACCGGAUUUUUGGGCAGUAU
rnacentral:lncRNA from 1 species